rnacentral:rRNA from 1 species
CAUAUGCUUGUCUCAAAGAUUAAGCCAUGCAUGUCUAAGUAUAAACAACUUUAUACUGUAAAACUGCGAACGGCUCAUUAUAUCAGCAAUAAUUUAUUUGAUGGUUUCUUACUACAUGGAUAACUGUAGUAAUUCUAGAGCUAAUACAUGCAUAAAGUCUCGACCUCACGGAAGGGAUGUAUUUAUUAGAUAAAAAGCCAAUGCGGCCCUAAAAGGUCGGUUUGUUGGUGGAAUCAUAGUAACUAAUCGAAUCGCAUAGCUUCACGCUGGCGAUAGUUCAUUCAAAUUUCUGCCCUAUCAGCUUUCGACGGUAGUGUAGUGGACUACCGUGGCUUUAACGGGUAACGGGGAAUUAGGGUUCGAUUCCGGAGAGGGAGCCUGAGAAACGGCUACCACAUCCAAGGAAGGCAGCAGGCGCGCCAAAUUACCCAAUCCUGACACAGGGAGGUAGUGACAAAAAAUAACAAUACUUGGCCUUUUCAGGUCGAGUAAUUGGAAUGAGUACAAUUUAAAUCCCUUAGCAAGGAUCAAUUGGAGGGCAAGUCUGGUGCCAGCAGCCGCGGUAAUUCCAGCUCCAAGAGCGUAUAUUAAAGUUGUUGCAGUUAAAAAGCUCGUAGUUGGAUUUCUGGUUUAGUGCGCCUGGCCCGUCGUCGUAAGACGUAUGAGUGCUGGUGUGCGCUUUCCAUCUUUCUAGAAAGCAUUUCUACCCUUUACUGGGCUGGAUAUGUAAUCUAGAUCGUUUACUUUGAAAAAAUUAGAGUGUCUAAAGCAAGCAAACUGUUUGAAUACAUUAGCAUGGAAUAAUAAUCUAGGACUUCGGUUCUAUUUUGUUGGUUUCUAAACUGGAGUAAUGAUUGAUAGGGACAGUUGGGGGUGCUAGUAUUGGCCGGCCAGAGGUGAAAUUCUUGGAUUCGGUCAAGACUAACUUAUGCGAAAGCAUUCACCAAGGAUGUCUUCUUUAAUCAAGAACGAAAGUUGGGGGAUCGAAGACGAUCAGAUACCGUCGUAGUCUCAACCAUAAACUAUGCCAACCAGAGAUGGGUGAACGUUGCAUUUUCGACUUUAUCCGCAUCUUAUGAGAAAUCAAAGUCUUUGGGUUCCGGGGGGAGUAUGGUCGCAAGGCUGAAACUUAAAGGAAUUGACGGAAGGGUACCACCAGGAGUGGAGCCUGCGGCUUAAUUUGACUCAGCACGGGAAAACUUACCAGGUCCAGACAUAGUGAGGAUUGACAGAGUGAAGAUCUUUCUUGAUUCUAUGGGUGGUGGUGC